UGACAGGCGCUGCCUACACUGGCAGUCGUACCGGGUAACUAGCUUGCUUCUCUUGAGAGCGGCGGACGGGUGAGUAAUGCCUAGGAAUCUGCCUGGUAGUGGGGGAUAACGUUCGGAAACGGACGCUAAUACCGCAUACGUCCUACGGGAGAAAGCAGGGGACCUUCGGGCCUUGCGCUAUCAGAUGAGCCUAGGUCGGAUUAGCUAGUUGGUGAGGUAAUGGCUCACCAAGGCAACGAUCCGUAACUGGUCUGAGAGGAUGAUCAGUCACACUGGAACUGAGACACGGUCCAGACUCCUACGGGAGGCAGCAGUGGGGAAUAUUGGACAAUGGGCGAAAGCCUGAUCCAGCCAUGCCGCGUGUGUGAAGAAGGUCUUCGGAUUGUAAAGCACUUUAAGUUGGGAGGAAGAGCAGUUACCUAAUACGUGAUUGUUUUGACGUUACCGACAGAAUAAGCACCGGCUAACUCUGUGCCAGCAGCCGCGGUAAUACAGAGGGUGCAAGCGUUAAUCGGAAUUACUGGGCGUAAAGCGCGCGUAGGUGGUUAGUUAAGUUGGAUGUGAAAUCCCCGGGCUCAACCUGGGAACUGCAUUCAAAACUGACUGACUAUAGUAUGGUAGAGGGUGGUGGAAUUUCCUGUGUAGCCGUGAAAUGCGUAGAUAUAGGAAGGAACACCUUUGGCAAAGGCGACCACCUGGCCUGAUACUGACACUGAGGUGCGAAA
rnacentral:rRNA from 1 species